ACCGGAGAACGGGUGCGUAACACGUGAGCAACCUACCGAACUGUGGGGGAUAGCCGGCCUAACGGCCGAGUAAUACCGCAUACGCUCUCAGUGAGGCAUUUCAUUGAGAGGAAACCUACGGGACAGAUCGAGGGGCUCGCGACCUAUCAGCUAGUUGGCGAGGUAACGGCUCACCAAGGCAACGACGGGUAGCUGGUCUGAGAGGAUGGCCAGCCACAUUGGGACUGAGAUACGGCCCAGACUCCUACGGGAGGCAGCAGUGGGGAAUCUUGCGCAAUGGCCUAACGGCUGACGCAGCGACGCCGCGUGUGGGAUGAAGCUCUUCGGAGUGUAAACCACUGUUGCCCGGGACGAACAGCUCGAUUAGUCGAGCCUGACGGUACCGGGUGAGGAAGCACCGGCUAACUCCGUGCCAGCAGCCGCGGUAAUACGGGGGGUGCGAGCGUUGUCCGGAAUCACUGGGCGUAAAGGGCGCGUAGGUGGUUUGAUAAGGGUGUGGUGAAAGUCCGGGGCUCAACCCCGGAUCUGCCGUGCCGACUGUCAAACUC
rnacentral:rRNA from 1 species